CAGUCGCGUUUGCCGGGACUCAGCCUUGCUUCUGCUUGGUGCACUUCUCGGUAGAUGGGUCAGCAUCGACUUUGGGUGACGGAAAAUGGCGGGAGGAAUGUGGCAGCUUGUCUGUGUUAUAGCCUCUUGCCGUACACGGUGCUUGGGAUCGAGGACUGCAGCACGCCUUUUGGCGGGGUUCUCCCACGCCACGUGCUUAGGAUGCUGGCUAAUGGCUUUAAACGACCCGUUUGAAACACGGACCAAGGA
rnacentral:rRNA from 1 species